GAUGAACGCUGGCGGCGUGCUUAACACAUGCAAGUCGAACGGAAAGGCCGAAGCUUGCUUCGGUACUCGAGUGGCGAACGGGUGAGUAACACGUGGGUGAUCUGCCCUGUACUUCGGGAUAAGCUUGGGAAACUGGGUCUACUACCGGAUAUGACAAUCUCUUGGAUGGGGUUGUGGAAAGCUUUUGCGGUAUGGGAUGAGCUCGCGGCCUAUCAGCUUGUUGGUGGGGUAAUGGCCUACCAAGGCGUCGACGGGUAGCCGGCCUGAGAGGGUGUACGGCCACAGUGGGACUGAGAUACGGCCCAGACUCCUACGGGAGGCAGCAGUGGGGAAUAUUGCACAAUGGGCGCAAGCCUGAUGCAGCGACGCCGCGUGGGGGAUGACGGCCUUCGGGUUGUAAACUCCUUUCGCAACCGACGAAGCUUUUUGUGACGGUAGGUUGAGAAGAAGCACCGGCUAACUACGUG
rnacentral:rRNA from 1 species